rnacentral:rRNA from 1 species
UACGUAGGGUGCAAGCGUUGUCCGGAAUUAUUGGGCGUAAAGAGCUCGUAGGCGGCUUGUCGCGUCGAAUGUGAAAACUCGGGGCUCAACUCCGAGCUUGCAUUCGAUACGGGCAGGCUAGAGUUCGGUAGGGGAGACUGGAAUUCCUGGUGUAGCGGUGAAAUGCGCAGAUAUCAGGAGGAACACCGGUGGCGAAGGCGGUCUGCUGGGCAGUUGCUGACACUGAGGCGCGACAGCGUGGGGAGCAAACAGG